rnacentral:rRNA from 1 species
GACGAACGCUGGCGGCGUGCCUAACACAUGCAAGUCGAACGCAGUGGGGACGGGUGCGUAACACGUUGGUAACCUCCCAUCAGAGGGGAUAACACUUGGAAACAGGUGCUAAACCGAUACUGAUGGAUGGACCGGCGGUGCAUUAGCUAGUUGGUGGGGUAGCGGCUCACCAAGGCGACGAUGCAUAGCCGACCUGGGAGGUGGAUCGUCCACACUGGGACUGAGACACGGCCCAGACUCCUACGGGAGGCAGCAGUAGGGAAUCUUUGGCAAUGGACGAAAGUCUGACCCAGCGACGCCGCGUGAGUGAAGAAGGUUUUCGGAUCGUAAAGCUCUGUUGUUAGAUAAGCGGUAUCUACAGAGAAAGCACCGGCUAACUACGUGCCAGCAGCCGCGGUAAUAC